GACGAACGCUGGCGGCGUGCUUAACACAUGCAAGUCGAACGGUGAACCCGCUUCGGUGGGGGAUCAGUGGCGAACGGGUGAGUAACACGUGGGCAACCUGCCCUCAGCUCUGGGAUAACUCCAAGAAAUUGGGGCUAAUACUGGAUAUGACCGCUGACCGCAUGGUCUGGUGGUGGAAAGAUUUAUCGGCUGGGGAUGGGCCCGCGGCCUAUCAGCUUGUUGGUGGGGUAGUGGCCUACCAAGGCGACGACGGGUAGCCGGCCUGAGAGGGUGACCGGCCACACUGGGACUGAGACACGGCCCAGACUCCUACGGGAGGCAGCAGUGGGGAAUAUUGCGCAAUGGGCGAAAGCCUGACGCAGCGACGCCGCGUGGGGGAUGACGGCCUUCGGGUUGUAAACCUCUUUCAGCAGGGACGAAGCGAAAGUGACGGUACCUGCAGAAGAAGCACCGGCCAACUACGUGCCAGCCGCCGCAGUAAAAC
rnacentral:rRNA from 1 species